rnacentral:rRNA from 1 species
UUUACUAGUGGCGGACGGGUGAGUAACGCGUGGGUAACCUGCCUUAUACAGGGGGAUAACAGUUAGAAAUGACUGCUAAUACCGCAUAAGACCACAGCACCGCAUGGUGCAGGGGUAAAAACUCCGGUGGUAUGGGAUGGACCCGCGUCUGAUUAGCUUGUUGGCAGGGUAACGGCCUACCAAGGCGACGAUCAGUAGCCGACCUGAGAGGUUGAACGGCCACAUUGGGACUGAGACACGGCCCAGACUCCUACGGGAGGCAGCAUG